UUGACAGAAGCCAAAAAGAGGCUUAUUAUUGUUAAUAAUAAAAAUGAUUUAAUCCUGUUAUU
rnacentral:tRNA from 1 species